rnacentral:misc_RNA from 1 species
AACCCUCCCAGCUAUAAGAGAUUGGGAUAUUGAGAGCUCUACCCAUCAUCCCCUCCCUAGAGAUCACUGUUGAAGGCUGUGCUUAGCGGCUUCUUGAGGCCCAGUAGCUAGCUGGUUUUGAAGAUCUAGAUUGUAAUCUGGAAGUUUGUGGGCUUAUGUAGCUGUGCAAGCUUUUCUCUUCUUUCCCAGUUUGUUGAACCAGUUCUAUCACCUUGAAAGAUCGUCGAUGAUGCAAGGAUUCUGGUAUUCGGUUUUGUUUUCCAAGGUGUUUGUUUUCUGGGUUUAGGGAAUAUUGUAAUGGGCUGGUAUUUUGGGUUUCAAAGCGAUCUAUUUUCUGCACAUUAAAUUGUAAUAUUUGUCCAUUAGGCCUUGUAAUGCAAAAGCUGCGAUUCAAAAUAAUAAUAAUAAUAAGGGAGGUGCGUUGGUG